UACGGAGGGUGCGAGCGUUGCUCGGAAUCACUGGGCGUAAAGCGCACGUAGGCGGACUCUUAAGUCGGUGGUGAAAUCCUGGAGCUCAACUCCAGAACUGCCUUCGAUACUGAGAGUCUUGAGUCCGGGAGAGGUGAGUGGAACUGCGAGUGUAGAGGUGAAAUUCGUAGAUAUUCGCAAGAACACCAGUGGCGAAGGCGGCUCACUGGCCCGGUACUGACGCUGAGGUGCGAAAGCGUGGGGAGCAAACAGG
rnacentral:rRNA from 1 species